rnacentral:tRNA from 7 species
GCCCACAUAGCUUAGUUGGUAGAGCACUUCCAUGGUAAGGAAGAGGUGGCCAGUUCGAUUCCGGCUGUGGGCACCA